GAUGAAGAACGUAGCGAAAUGCGAUAAGUAGUGUGAAUUGCAGAAUUCAGUGAAUCAUCGAAUCUUUGAACGCACAUUGCGCCCCUUGGUAUCCCGAGGGGCAUGCCUGUUCGAGCGUCAUAUUAACCACUCCCGCUUGCGGGGUCUUGGGCUUCGCCUCCGGGCGGGCCUUAAAAUCAGUGGCGGUGCCGUCGGGCUCUACGCGUAGUAAAUUUUCUCGCGAUAGGGUCCCGGUGGAUGCUUGCCAACAACCCCCAACUUCUUAAGGUUGACCUCGGAUCAGGUAGGGAUACCCGCUGAACUUAAGCAUAUCAAUAAGCGGAGGA
rnacentral:misc_RNA from 1 species